rnacentral:rRNA from 1 species
AUUGAACGCUGGCGGAAUGCUUUACACAUGCAAGUCGAACGGCAGCACGGACUUCGGUCUGGUGGCGAGUGGCGAACGGGUGAGUAACAUAUCGGAACGUAUCCAAUAAUGGGGGAUAACGAGUCGAAAGAUUCGCUAAUACCGCAUACGCCCUACGGGGGAAAGCUGGGGACCUUCGGGCCUGGCGUUAAUGGAGCGGCCGAUAUCUGAUUAGCUAGUUGGUGAGGUAAAGGCUCACCAGGGCGACGAUCAGUAGCUGGUCUGAGAGGACGACCAGCCACACUUGAACUGAGACACGGUCCAGACUCCUACGGGAGGCAGCAGUGGGGAAUUUUGGACAAUGGGCGCAAGCCUGAUCCAGCCAUUCCGCGUGAGUGAAGAAGGCCUUCGGGUUGUAAAGCUCUUUCGCAAGGGAAGAAAACUUAGCCACUAACAUUGGUUGAGGUUGACGGUACCUUGAUAAGAAGCACCGGCUAACUACGUGCCAGCCGCCGCGGUAA